AACUAACGCUGGCGGCGCGUCUUAAACAUGCAAGUCGAGCGGUAAGGCCCGCAAGGGUACACGAGCGGCAAACGGGUGAGUAACACGUAGGUAAUCUUCCCUUCAGUGGGGGACAACCUGCCGAAAGGCAGGCUAAUACCCCAUAUUUCCAGUCCUUCCACGGUGGGAUUGUAGAAAGCAGCAAUGCGCUGAAGGAUGAGCCUGCGGCUGAUUAGCUUGUUGGCGGGGUAACGGCCCACCAAGGCGACGAUCAGUAGCCGGCCUGAGAGGGUGUCCGGCCACACUGGGACUGAGACACGGCCCAGACUCCUACGGGAGGCAGCAGUUAAGAAUCUUGCGCAAUGGGCGCAAGCCUGACGCAGCGACGCCGCGUGCGCGAUGAAGGCC
rnacentral:rRNA from 1 species